rnacentral:rRNA from 1 species
UAGGGAAUAUUGGUUAAUGUGCGAAAGCGCGAACCAGCAACGCCGCGUGUGCGAUGAAGGCCUUCGGGUCGUAAAGCACUCUUUGCAGGGAAGAGGAAGGACGGUACCUGCAGAAUAAGUCUCGGCUAACUACGUGCCAGCAGCCGCGGUAAAACGUAGGAGACGAGCGUUAUCCGGAUUUACUGGGCGUAAAGCGCGUGCAGGCGGCAUGGCAAGUUGGAUGUGAAAGCUCCCGGCUUAACUGGGAGAGGUCGUUCAAUACUGCCAGGCUUUAGAGUGGUAGAGGGAAGCGGAAUUCCGGGUGUAGUGGUGAAAUGCGUAGAUAUCCGGAGGAACACCAGUGGCGAAAGCGGCUUCCUGGCCCAUUUCUGACGCUCAGACGCGAAAGCUAGGGUAGCAAACG